AGUGACUCCAUUCAGUUUUACUAACAUACAACAGGCAAUAAUGGCCAAACUUCUCAAAUGUUGUGCCUUGCCAGCACGUAUGCUUUCUUUUGGACCUAACCACACAAUCUUAGUGAGUUGGUAAAUUUCUUUUGUCAGUAUGGUUUUGCAGACUACCAGGAUGCUGAGCACAGCCUUGCUGGUCACACAACCCAUUUAUCAGCAAUUUUUACUAGCAACAAAGUACACAGUUUUCAAAGAUUCCACUACUCAACAUGGUUUAUGUGCAUUAAAAACAUAAAAACCUAGCAGUAUUCUUGUCCUACAUAAUGGAAGAAAAAGAGAAAAUACUGAGGUUGACACUAUAAAUAAAAAAAAGGAUUUAAAUGAGCCAGCUUGAAAUUUUGUGAAAUACACAGAGAAAACAAGAACAAAGACAAUAGCUAACAUGCAGCUGGCUAAGCAGCACUGCUGCAAGAUGAGCCCAAACAUUUGAAUUUCUAGAUUCUAGAUGCUUUAGUUAUUCUUUGAAACAAGAAAAUGAAGCAAAUCAUGCUCAUGCUUAAGAACUUCUUGCAUGUGUGUCUAUAACAAGAAGAAAAGCCCAGAGUAGAGAGGUAAUCAAAACAUGUGCCAGCAGUGUGACCUCCAGUGAAGUUUUGCCUGAGCUUUCUUUUGUCCUACUUGAGGCUGCUGAGCAAACAGCUCCUGGGAGUUCAGAUCCACCCCUGGACCAGCUGGGUUCAUCCAUUCUAUAGCACAAAUUUACUGACUGGAUGUUUUUUCUUUUUUUUUCCAUUUUUUCCCCCCCUGUCAUUAAAAUAAGAUAAAAGAUUACAAAAACUUGCAUUUUCAGUGAGAAUUCAGUAUGUUUAACAUACACAGAUUCAGAUCUCGGUAUAAUUUUCAAACAUCAGAAACUGAUGUUUAAACUGAUGGUACUGAAAAGACUCAGCCAUUCAUCUGAGCAUCAGCAGGUUAUUUGAAAAUUACUAGGAAAAGUGUAAUUAUUCUGAGUUAGUGCACUAAAUUGUAGGGUAUUCAGGAACCUCUGCACGUUACUGUUUCUGGUUUCAAGGUAAAUCCUUCUAUUACAUUCAGUGACACAAGAUUACUUAAUUACUGCAAUUUUUAAACCAGGUUUUUCUCUGUGUCUUGCACUUAGCCUAGUGAAAUAAUUUACCAAAAUUGAGAGUACUUGGAAUCACAGAUAAAUAAGUAAUUUAUAGAAUGUAUUAAAACUUCUGAUCCCUCUAGUUCUAAAGCCUCUCUGUAAUCUUCUUUAGCAUUUGCCUUUGGAGAACUGUUUGAUGAAAGCUAAGCACUUAGCAGAAACCACUUUAGUUAUGAAUUUUGUACAUUAAAAUAAUGAAAACCUUAUUUACUUAUUUACUUUUCUGGAGAAGGCUGACCUGGACAGCCAGAGCUUCAGUGCUGUGGUGGCACCAAGUAAUACUAUUUUGCUCAGCAGAACUGUGUCUUGAUGUUCUGAGAGGAAGACUGAGGAAGUUUGCUAUAAAUUGUGAAGGAAAUGACUCAUCAUUACUUGGCAGUUCUGUACUCUAAUGCCAUAAUAUGUUCACAGGUUGAGCAAAUCCAGGAUAAAAAAGUCACCAUCAGUAACUCAGACAAAUACUGCAAAAUAGGACAAUAUAACCUUUUAAAUGUGCAACUGCCAUCAGAUACACCCUAAUGUAUAAAAGAUGACACAAUACAGUUCACAUUAGACAUCCACUGCAGUUAGUACAACCUCAUAAGGACAUAGUUUUGGGUUUUCUAAAAGUACCAGAGAAUCACAUCAGAUCAUCUAAAUGGAAAGCUUGGGGAUGCAUCUUCAUUCACCAAACAUUUUAAAUUCUCAAUGAGAAAUAAGUAAUUAAAUUAAGUCCAUUGUUCUCUAAGGAGAAAAAGGAAGAUUCUAUUCAAAAUUCUCUCAAGUCCAAGAAUAUUUUUCUGACUGUCAUUAUAAUUUGUAUGCAACUUUUGAACAACACAAAUUCUUUGAAAUGUUCUGCUGGAAUCUCCUUGCCUGUCCGAAUUACAUAAUAUAAAAGCGAAGACAGUAGGGCAAUUUAAAGCAUAUAGGUUAUGAUCUGCUUCCUUCAAGAUCAUCUCAUGCAGGAAUUUGAAUAACAUCAGGUAAAAUAAGUGUUAACAGAUGACACUUCACACCAAUGUCAGUCUUUGUUGGACUAAUUGAGAGCAGAGAUGGAAAGCUACAUUUAAUGAUUAAACAACAAAACACUGAGGUCAAGAUGCACAUUCCUUGUUCCUGGUUAGGUCCUGGUUUGAACUGGUGAUUGAGCACCUGGUGAUGGCAUGUGGCUGGUCUAGGCAGCGCUACUAAACUGUUUGCACCUGUGCCCCCACGUGACCAGAAGGGGUGGAUCCAGGAUGGAGCAACCCUGGGCUAAAAUAAGGGCCAGCCAUUAAGGACAGGACAUCUUGGGUCCAGGCUGCUUUCUGAGGAGGGGGUAUUGUGUAGUUGUUCACCAGCUGGUGGGUGCGGACAUGAGUAAUCUUCCCUUUCACCCAAGCGUGCAAUGGGAUGCAGUCAACAGUGUCUGUGUGGUAGGCGGAGGAGGAAAGGCACAUGAACAACACUCAGCAUCCUUCCCCAUGGUCUGGAAAAUCCUUUUUCAGUACAUGUUGCACUGUGGGACUUAGGGAAGAGAGUCUGUUCUCCAUGGGACAUCAUGUCAAGGUUCUUGGUAACACAGAAAUAACCAACUGGAUGGAGAAUGGUGCUGAAGUCAAAUAGUUAACAGAGGCUAUUUCUAUACGUACAACUGUUCUCUGAUCUAUUGGCCAUUGGACUUACAUAGUGAUGCAAAUGUUUUUGCCAUAGAAAAAGAAUGGAUCAAACUUUCAUCCCUCACCUAGCCAGUAACACUGGAAUAGAAAUGUAAGUGUGCUUUUUCUAUCAGCUGAGAACACUUAUGUUGGCAUUUGGGCACAUAUUUCUUGCAGGGAUAAACACUAAUAUUCUAGAAGGCACACUAUUUUUUUUUCUUUUUUUUUCUCUGACUGUAUGUUAACACAGGAACUUGUGAAACUCUACAGCCAGUAACACUGAAAAUGACUUUCCACUGCCACAGGUAUUUAUCAGAGAAAAGCUAUUCAAUAUCAGAUUCCAACACCUUCUCAUUCUUUAUCAUUAAAUGUAUAUUAUCUCUACUGUGCCCUUUUCACAAGGAAUACCAUGUAGUAUAUUUUUAUUUGGGUUCAUAAUCACAUGGUGUGGUAAAUCCUUUAUUUUUCAGCUGCAGCAAGAAAGUCUUAAAAUGGGUAUGUGUGAAUUGGAAGGCCAGAAGUGUCAACAGCAACAUCUGAAAUUGCUCUAACCAUGGAAAUUUAGUAUGAGUCAUACUGGACAAACUGAAAUGCUAGAUACAGGUCAGAUAAUUAUGUAAAGAAGGAAAGUAGGUCAGAGUG